GACGAACGCUGGCGGCGUGCCUAAUACAUGCAAGUCGAGCGGACGAAUCGAAAGCUUGCUUUUGAUUCGUUAGCGGCGGACGGGUGAGUAACACGUGGGCAACCUGCCCUGUAGACGGGGAUAACACCGAGAAAUCGGUUCUAAUACCGGAUAACACGAAAUGUCGCAUGACGUUUCGUUGAAAGACGGCGCAAGCUGCCGCUACAGGAUGGGCCCGCGGCGCAUUAGCUUGUUGGUGAGGUAACGGCUCACCAAGGCGACGAUACGUAGCCGACCUGAGAGGGUGAUCGGCCACACUAGGACUGAGACACGGCCCAGACUCCUACGGGAGGCAGCAGUAGGGAAUCUUCCGCAAUGGACGAAAGUCUGACGGAGCAACGCCGCGUGAGCGAAGAAGGCCUUCGGGUCGUAAAGCUCUGUUGUUAGGGAAGAACAAGUAACGCAGUAACUGGCGUUACCGUGACGGUACCUAACGAGAAAGCCACGGCUAACUACGUG
rnacentral:rRNA from 1 species